rnacentral:rRNA from 1 species
AAUCUGCCUUUUGGUUCGGAAUAACACGGGGAAACUUGUGCUAAUACCGAAUAAGCCCUUACGGGGAAAGUUUUAAUGCCAAAAGAUGAGCCCGCACUUGAUUAGCUAGUUGGUAAGGUAAAAGCUUACCAAGGCAACGAUCAAUAGCUGUUCUUAGAGGAAGACCAGCCACAUUGGGACUGAGACACGGCCCAGACUCCUACGGGAGGCAGCAGUGGGGAAUCUUGCACAAUGGGGGAAACCCUGAUGCAGCGAUGCCGCGUGAGUGAAGAAGGCCCUUGGGUUGUAAAACUCUUUCGUCGGGGAAGAAAAUGACUGUACCCGAAUAAGAAGGUCCGGCUAACUUCGUGCCAGCAGCCGCGGUAAUACGAAGGGACCUAGCGU